rnacentral:rRNA from 1 species
ACAGCAGUCGCCGCGGUAAUACGUAGGUGGCAAGCGUUGUCCGGAAUUAUUGGGCGUAAAGGGCUCGCAGGCGGUUUCUUAAGUCUGAUGUGAAAGCCCCCGGCUCAACCGGGGAGGGUCAUUGGAAACUGGGAAACUUGAGUGCAGAAGAGGAGAGUGGAAUUCCACGUGUAGCGGUGAAAUGCGUAGAGAUGUGGAGGAACACCAGUGGCGAAGGCGACUCUCUGGUCUGUAACUGACGCUGAGGAGCGAAAGCGUGGGGAGCGAACAGGAUUAGAUACCCCUGUAGUCCCUGUCUCUUAUAC